CCGUCGGAACCGGGAGACCUGGUGAGGGGGCGGCGGCAGCGGCAGCGGCCCGCCUCGUCGCACCCGACUCUGGGUAAGCGGCGGCCUCGGUUUUCCCAUCUCCCAAGUGGGACCACGGCACGGACCGCCACAGGGGCGCUGCGAGACGUGAGGCAUCUAGAAGGAGAGCCCAGUAGGGACCAGAGGCUCCUGCAACUCCGGCUGUCCCCUCCGCCUGGUGACUCACGAUGUUGGCGGCUCGCACGUGCAUCUCGUAAUUGUCCUGUUCGCCUUGAGUGGCCCUCGACACCUGGGUCUCGUCCUCAAUCUGGAAGGCCAACAAGCAAGCCGAGAGCUAGCAGGUGCCCCCGCCCACAGGUACCUGGCAGCAGCCUGUCUUGCCCUCUGCACGGGGUCCUGCUAACCAGACCUCAGGCAGCGUUCGCCCUCACCCCGUCUCGUCCUGUUUGAAAGAGAUAACAGGUACCCUCAUCAGGGGUAAUGGACCCCUAAGUAUGCCAGCUGCUGGGCCAGGUGCGCGGAGAAGGAAGCAAUGCUGGAUGCUGGAUCCUGGCACUUCGACUGGAGUCCCCACAACUGCCACCCCAGAGCCUGUGAGAAGCUGCAGCGGCAGGAGACAGCAGCGCACCCACCUUGGCGGUCUUGAUGAUCUCGGUGAAGUUGUCCAUGAUGGACUUGACGUCGUCCUUGAGCCGCUUGUUGUAAGACUGCAAUAGCGUCUCCUUGCUCUGGGGC